UCUGCUGGGAAGAGGCGGCCGUUCUCCUGGAAGCGGCACUGACGGCUCCGUCGCUGCCCACAGCUGCCCACAGGGCUGAGCGCUGUGCCGGGAUGAGCCGGGAGCAGCAGCCCGGGAGCAGGUCUGCUGGGCCGGACGGGCUGCAGCGAGAGGAGCAGCGGUUCCCAGGCGUGUUGCAGCCCGGGUUGUAUAUCGAGGGGCACAGGAAGGGGUUGGAGCUGGGACGGUGAGGAAGUGAGCAGAGGAGCUCAGCGUGCUCUGCUGCCCGCUUGGCUCUCUGGAACGCAGCGCAGCUGGGACUGCAUUUCUUCCUCUGGACCACGGGAGACACGAGAUGACCUCACAUUUCUUCCUCUGGACCACGGGAGACACGAGAUGACCUCGCUGCGCAGCUCUGCACGCAUGGAUCGAUGAAAGCUUUCAACUCCCCGAUGCCUCCUUUGGAGCGUCUUCAUGUGAAGCCUCCCAGGGGGCAAUUUUUACUGUCCUCCUCCUCGCCGGCAGCCCCCAGUUUCCCUUCGGGGACCCAGCGGGCAGCAUCUGCCUCUGACGCCCUUUCAGCGUUCCGUUGUGUGCGCUGAGCGCUUGGCUGAUGGCUCCCGUGGGGUUGUGCAAACCCCUCGCAAGGCUUUUGUUCAGGCUGUCCCGGCAGCUGCAGGUGCCUUCCGCGCACAGCUGCGGGCGCUGAGCACGUUCAGCAUCUGCACCAGCUGCGGCACUGGGCUCGUGUUCUGCUUUCCGUGCUCGCACGCUGCAGCGCUCCUUGCAUUUGCAUCCCAGGGCUCAGAGGGAACCCGAGUGCGGUGGUCUGACAGCAGCAGGCAGUGCCUUGCUCGCCCACUCCCCGAUGAGACAGUGGGGGGGGGGGGAUAUACGGUGAAAUGCUCACACUGUGGGCUGAAUUGAGCACACGCUGAGAACGUGCCUGAAUGGCGAGGACAGCUUUUCUAUAUUGUGAGAAUGGCGUUUUGCAUAACCUGGUGUAAGCUGUAGUACGAGAGGCUUGCGUGAAUGUAAGCUCAAGAACAGAACGUGGAGGAGGGCAUGGAGUUCGUUGUCAAGUGAAGGUAAGGCAGUAGAAUAGAUGUCCUGUUGUGAUGGCAAAACAGGUGCCUCAGCUCAAUGUAACACCAGUGGGAAGCGGUUUGGGUACUCCUCUUAAAAGGCUGGAAAUUUUCAUGGAGAAUGCAUCCCAGGACCACCAGAGAUGUUAAUUAUUUCUUGGAAUGUCUGCCCAUGUCCUUGGAGUCUAAUGAAUAUGUAUAGACCGUACCUUUCUGUAUGUAGUCACUGUUUCUCUUGGUGUGCAUGUCGAUCCCCCAUGCAGCCAGCGCUGUUGUAAAGGGAAUACCUGCUUGACAUAACUCAUUAGUGUGUCAAGUUACUCUGUCGGUUUUCUUGGCUCCAGUUGUCGAUCCAGGCCUGAGCAUCUCUGCUCAACUGUGGGACCCACUGAGAGGACUCCCUGUGCCCACCAGCAGCUUGUCUGGGAGGGACUCCAACUCUCAGGCAGAUCACUGCAGGAGCAAGCCAAAUCCUCUGGAUAAAGGUAUUCCCUAAGUCUGGAUUCUUUUCCUCUGGUUCUUUUCUUUGGUUAAGGCCUUGGGGAAAAGCACUCGUGAGCCAGGUUGGGCAGCACAGAGUGCACGGCAGUAAAAAUUGUGUGUCAGCCCUGAGGGCACCAAACUGGUAAUUUAUUUUGGCACGGGAUGGAAACCGUGAGUCUGCCUGACAGUUAACAGGGCUACGGCCCUGGCAAAGUAGCCGUGUUAGGAGGGACGUUUACAGUUUGGGGUAAAAUAGCUGACUGUAACACUGUACCGCCAGGGGGACUUGGCAGGAAAGUGACGAGUGGAACUUUGUGCACUGCCAUUUGUGGAAAUCGAUAGCUGCACCGUUCUGAACUGAGGUGGUCCUAACGCCGUCUACAUCUAUGAGCAGUUUCCAAAUAGCAAAUAUAGCCGCACUGCUAAAUUUACUACGCCAGCAAGCUAACCUAUUCAGUCGUGUAAAUGCUGCAGGUGCACCCCAGCCUGAGCCGCCAAGGCAGCCAUGGCAGUGGUUUCAGCAGCAGGUGCAGCUGUAAACUCAGACUGAGCGGACCGAACCUGCUGGUAUACCGUUGACACCUCUGAGCUACCACUAGGUAGCUAUAUCACUAGGUAGUGAUAGGACUAGGAGGAUCUUAUUUAAACUGAAAGGGGGCAGGUUUUAAGUUAGAUGUUAGGAAGAAAUUAGCAGUGUCCAGGCCAUCAGCAUCUAUGGAAGAUGCUGUGGGUAGGAAGCUAGCUAGAUUAUCAGGGGCUAACGUUACCAGUGAUAUGGAGUUCCUCUGGUCACAAAUUAAAACCACGAUCCCCCAGUGACUAGUAACUGUGCCAACAUGUUUGAAUGUUUUCAUUAACUGACUUGCUCUGUGAUGGCACAGAACGCAGUGUUGGUCCUUUUUCUUGAUGACUCAGAGCUCAAAGGUGUCCGUGGUUUAUGGGCUGGUUCCGCCUGGUUCCGUGACUAAUGGUAGUGGGGGGACUUCUUUCUACAAAGAGGUUGUCUGAGCAGCCAGGGAUCAGGUUAGGAUAGCUAAAACCCAGAUGGAAUUAAAUCUAGCCAGGGACAUAAAGAGGAACAAGAAGAUUCUAUAGAUACAUAAGCAACAAAAGGAAGGCCAGGGAAGAUGUGGACCCUCUCUGGAAGGAAGACCAGAGACCUGGUCACAAGGGAUAUAGAGACCUGGUCACAAGGGAUAUGGAGAAAGCUGAGGUGCUCAAUGACUUCUUUGCCUCAGUCUUCGUUGGCAAGGGCUCUAGCCACACAGCACAACCUGCAGAAAGCAAAGGUAAGAACUGGGAGAAGGAAGAUCUGCUGUCUGUAAGUGAAGAUCAGGUUCAAGACCAUCAAAAGAACCUGAAGGUGCACAAGUACGUGGGACCCAAUGAGAUCUAUACGCAGGUUCUAAGGAAACCGGCGGAUGAAGUUGCCAAACUGCUGUCCACCACAUUUGGAAGGUCAUGACAGUCUGGUGAAGUACCCACUGUUUGCAACAGUGCAGUUGUCCGACUCUAGAGGGUCAGUAAGUCAUAUCACGCUUGCUUAGGGAGCUUCUGCUUGCCGCAUAUAGGGCUAUCUAAGUGUAUGAAUGUGUGUGUGCAUGCCAAGGAAAUCUUGCAUCUGUUGGAAGCUGUGAAUUUACCGGAGAACAUUUUUGUUAUACAUUGUAGGGGACAUCAGAAGUGCAACCCUGUAGAGGAAAUUGGAAAUAAGAUGGCGGAUCAGGCAGCAAAGCAGGCAGCUGAAGGAAAAGAAAUUGGUGAACUGACUUUAAUUCCAGACAGUCAACUUCAGAUCUCUGAAUUUGAGUCAGAACCUGUAAAAUAUUCUAGAGUGGAUAGGAAUUAAUUUAAUGAAUGAUUUAGAAGGAAAGGAGCAAACUGACAGAUGGACAUACACACCUGAUGGAUGUGCUGUCGUGCCCUUUAGCAGCCUAUGGAAGUCGGUUCUAAGGGAACAUAAUAAAACUCACUGGGGAGUGGAUGCUAUUUAUAAGUAUCCGAACAAAGUAAUUGUCAGUUGCAAUCUGUAUAACGCAACGAAACAGGCUAUUCAUCAAUGUGAAAUCUGUCUGAAGAACAAUCCUAAUGCUAGAAGAGGGUACAAGUGGCAUCUAUCAGGACAGAGAACGUUCCAGGAAAACAAUGGCAAAUAACUUUUCAGAACUUCCGAGAAAACGGGAGUAUCAGUACUUACUGGUGCUGACAGACACUUUUUCAGGUUGUCCUGAAGCUUUUACUUGUAGAACAGAUAAGGUGAGAGAAGUUAGAUGAGUGUUAUUGAAUGAAAUAAUAUCUCAAUUUGGGGUGCGUGUCAUGAUAUCAUCAGGCAGGGGUACUCAUUUCUGUGAGCAAGAGGUACAGCAAGUCAGCAAAAUAUUGGGAAUUUAUCGGCAAUUGCACCUGUCUAUCAAAUUUGGAAUCAGACAGAAUUCAAGAAUAUAUUCAAAAGUUUAAUAAAACCUUUCAUGAAUCCAUAAUGAAAAUGAUAAUUACCCAAAAUGAACUGAAACAGAUUUCAUGGCAAACUGAGGCACAGACAUCUCAUCAUUGGUGGGACAUCUUUGUCGGGUAUUCCCUGAUAUUAUCGAAGGUAUCGGGCGUAUUAAUUCAUCCACUAUUAGUGCUGCUGGUGAUAAGUCUGAUAUUAACAAUUAUAAUCUGCUUCUUUUAGUAUAAACUUAAGAAAUAAAUCCAAAGGGUUUGGGCAUUGCCUACAGUGAUUAAGCAUGAGCAACAUGAGCUUUUGCAAAACAAUUUGCAAGGUUAUUGGAAACGGGGGGAACUGAUUUAAGAAAGAAUUAAACAAAAUAUUCUGUCAGUAUAUCCUUAUAAGAUUGUUGUGUAAUAUGGGUAACACUUGCAACACCAUAGUAGGCUUUUAGAUGUUAUGGGUGAUAAUUGUGAUGCCUCACUGUAAAUGAGGAGGCAUGCUGUGAGACUGAUCUGCUUCACCAUGAUACAGGUUAUCACAAUAUAGUUAAGCUUACCAGUGUUUGUUGAUAGAUACCCCUGCCCUGCAAUUUGUUUAGAUAACAGAAAGAGCUGUGACUCUGAACCAAGGAGAUAAGGAAGUCCUGCUGAGCCUUUGUACCAAGGACAUAGGAGGUCCUGCCUGGAAUCAGUCACUGAAUCUGUAACAUACUUCUGGGAAAACGUGCGUAUGUAACAUAGCUCUGAGAAACUUCCACGUAUGUAGCGUACCUCUUGGAAAACUUCUGCAGGUGUAACACAAGUUAUAUAUAUGAACUGAAGAUCUCUUGUGUAAGCUGUGCGUGAUAGGAGGAUUACCCCUGUGCAUCCAGCGCUGCCACUAAGAAUAUCUCCUUAAUGAUAGUAAAACUUUUGCUGUUAAGUCUCUCUGCAUCGAUUUCUUCUAAUGAAUUGGAAGCAAAAAUUGGGAAGAAUUAAGGGAAGAAUCUUCCCCAGCAAAGCCUUGCCAGGCGGGGAAGAUGAAACAAGCUGAAAUAGGAGAUCAGGUGCUUGGCAUUGAGUGCCCUCCCACCACCUCCACAGGAGGGGAGAGCCCUGGGGCGGGGCGGGAGGAGAUGGGACACAACACUCAUCUGUGUUCUUCCCGUUCUUCUUUCCUGCUACAGGUAUUACAAUCCUGGAAGCAAUGUUUGGGUUACUCUGGCUAAUGCAACUGGACAAGAUAUGCUAUGCGUAAGUACUGCAACCCCGUCAAACUCAGUUCCUGACCUGCCUGGUCAGAGUGCCACGGACUGAAAAUGACUCUCGUGUACUCCAGAACUUCCCAGAUUUACCCGGCCUGAAUGGCAAGGACAUGUGGCUUUCCUGCCAUGUGUUGGGGAAACUCCAGUUCUUACUCCUGAGGAACUCCGGAUGCUGGGGACACUGUACGCUGACUGUCGUACCACGCUCAUGCCUAACACGAGCUGUUGGCACACUGCCAGCUACCCAAGAGGUGGAGCCCCGACGACAGUUGUCUACUCAACAAAAGUGGGUUAUUGGAACGACUCAGUGUGGUGUAAUCACACUGCAAGUAAUGUAUCAAUGGGCUAUAACACCCCAAUGUCCCCGCCAAAGGCAGAUUUUUUAUCAGGGGGGAACAGGUUUGGGCAGGCAUACCUGCUGGGGCUCUGGGAGAGCCACGUACUGGUGAAUGACUACUUGUUUUUAUACCCAAAAUCACCAUGGCAAUUGCAUGGCAGUGGAAAAAAAAAAAAAAAAAAAAAGAAAGAAAACAACACAGACUCGGCGAUCCACCCAGGAAUUUUAUACUUACUCGCUGGAUUGUAAGUCCGAGUUUACAGCUGCACCUGCUGCUGAAAUCAUUGCCAUGGCUGCCUUGGCAGCCCAGGCUGGGGUGUGGCUGCAGCAUUAACACAGUUGAAUAGGUUAGCUUGCUGGCGUAGUAAAUUUAGCAGUGCUGCUACAUUUGCAAUUUGGAAACUGCUCAUAGAUGUAGACGGCGUUAGGACCACCUCAGUUCAGAACGGUGCAGCUAUCGAUUUCCCACUGCUUACCCAAGGCCGUGGAUGCCAGGCCUUUGAUGGACUCUGCUGCAUGAAGCUUUUGGACCAUUCCUAAUCCAUCCAAAGCCACCUGGAUGAAUUAAGGGAUCUUGCUGAUCAGCUGCAGGAGUCCUCAGGAUGGAAUCCUUUUUCAGCCUGGGACUGGGGAUGGGGAUUAUAGAAAAAGAUAGUAUGGAUAGGCUGUAUCUUGGACGUAUGUUUCCUCACUCUUCUGUGCAGUAUUCCAUGCUACUUACAACUUGUACAACAAGCUAUGGAAAGUGCUUUCUGUGGACUUGCAGCAAAAGUAGUGCAGUAACACCAUGUUCCAAACCAGGAUCACGCAGUGCCAUGUGUCAGGGAUCAGAAAGUUCUGACCAAAGAGUCAGAAGAGUUCCUGAGUUGGAACAAGGCAUUCUGGGAAGGUGGUUACAGCUGACUUAGCUUAUUUUGCUAGAAGCUGACCUUGCUGGUUUAUGUUGUUUCGCAAGAAGCUGAACUAGUUUUGCAGGAAGUUGCUCUGCUUCGUCUCUGUAUCCUACGCUGGCCACGCAGCUGCCGUGUGCAAAUGGAAAAAAACCCUGCAGACAGUGGGAGAGAAUAAAAGCAGGAGGGAGGCUAUGGUGGAUCCCGGGAGGACAAGUGCACCUUGAAACAGGGGAUGCACCGUGGGCACCAUCUACUGAAACCACUGUGGGCGUGUUCCAUCUCAUCCUCCUGCUCAGCACUUUGUCCGUCCCUAGGAGGUCGGUGAUUUCCAGUUAACCUCCAAGAGCUGCAUUGCUGCUUUCCUCACCCUUGUGUCUGAUUCAUCAGUGCACUCAGAAAUUACUGAGAAGAACACAGACACACAGAACGUUCCUACACAGCUGCUGUUCCUUAGGAACCAGCACCAAAAAGCAGCAGGCAGGAAGAGUGGAAGAAGAAAUGGGGCACGGUGACUUUCUUCUGUUAGCAAGGAAAGGCCAUCUGAAGCUCCUGUGUCUUACAGUUUUAUGGGGUGUUUUUUUUGCAUCAGAACACCACAUUCAUAGCAUCAUGCCACGGUGGGAGUCAGAGUUAAUGCUCCAUUUUCCAAAGAGAGGAAUGAACUAGAGCUCCCAGGGGCCAGGAAAAGGCACUACGCUUCCAGAAGACGUCAUUUUGUAACUUUCUGUCUUCUGCGGGGAGAGAAAAAAUAAGAGAACAGGGAGGUCACAAGAUCUCUCUCUUUUGCAGCUGGCUGCUAACUGCUACAGCUACAGUAACAGAUUUGGGUUUGAAAAACUCUCUCUCGCGCGCGCGUUUAUUAGCUUCAAUCCCAAUUAACUUGUCUUUCUCUAUUAUAAAUAGUCAACUAAGGUUUUUUCACCUCAGUUCAUUGCCGCUAUUUUUUUUUUCCUUUUGUUCCUUUUCUCUCCUGACUCCUUGCACACUGCCCUGGCAGAAACGUGCCACCUGGCAGAGGGUUUCCAGUGGUUGUGACACAUCCCACUCUGGACUUUCAUUUGCAUGUCCACACAGCAGCCUGUCUGCAGCUGAAAGAAGGCAGAAUGAAUAAUUUCCAUGCAGGUAAGGGGGAACAGGAUUUAGUUUGGCACCAGAGCUCUUCCUAUGCUCAAGGAAUUUGUAAAAUUCAUCACCACAGGUGGUGACUAGGCUGGGGCUUUGGCUGAAACUCUUCCCACGUUCAGGGCUCUGCAGGCUCUAUCUGCUGUGUGGAUGCGCUGUUGUAUUCUGAGAUUGGCACGGUUUUGGAAGCCCUUUCCACACUCCUGUGUCCAUGUGCCGGUGGUGCUUCAAACUGUAACUUCUGAAGUUCUUCCUGGACUCAGGACCUUUAUAGGGUCUCUCCCCCCUGUGGAUGUGCAGGUGCUGCUCCAAUUGUGAACUUCUUUUGAAGCUUUUCUCACACUCAGGACACUUAUAGGGUCUCUCUCCUGUGUGAAUGCUCUGGUGGCAAAUGAGUUGGGAUCUCCAUUUGAAGCUCUUUCUGCAAUCAGAGCACUUGUACAGGCGACCCUCUGAGAGCAAGCACUGGUGAUUAACAAGCUUGGAAUACCUUUUAAAGCUUUUCCCACACUCAGUGCAUGGAUUCUGCUUUUUCUUCUGGCACGCAUUCUUGCUCCCGUGGUCUUCAGGCUGCUUUUGACCCACGCUGAAGUCCACAGGGUUCCUUGCUCUCUUUCCCACAUGCCCUCCCAGUGGCUCCUCAAAGCGCUCUGCCUGCUCAAAGCCCACAUGGACAUCUCUUCCAAUUUCUUCCACACAGGCGCUACCCCACUGCUUUUCAGCCACACCACUUUCCUACAGAUCCUCCUUUAUAUCUGUGAUCCCAUCACCUCCUGGACGACAAAGAAAAUCCAGAAAUAGCACACGGUGCCCAGAAUAAAACACAGACAGAGAGGACUCUUCCAGCCCCAGCCUCCCCCUUCCCUCUCUCCAGCAACGCACCUGGGCUCAGGUCUCCUGGCACGGCCUCGGGGCUACGCACACCUGGGAUCCAGGGGUCUUCCCCUCCUUCAAGCAGGGAGAUCAGCCCGGGUUUGGGGGCUGGAAGUGGAGCUUCGAUGACAGAAAAAGGGGAGAUGAGAGCAUUUCAUUGAUUCUGGCACAGCUGCUUGUCCCACAAAUCCACACUGUGUCCCUUUAUACUGUGAAACCGCCAUUAGGGUGUGAAUGACACUAGGCCAAUACAUACCAGCUUCUUUCCUUUGAAGCACGGCAUUGCUAUUGUAUCUCUGAAAAUUAUGCAGGGGCAUGGUCCUCCCCAUCCUGGCUGAUGCUUGCUUGACAGCACUGACUCAGGGGUUUUUAUCACAGUGCUGAGCACUGAGCACAAGAAGGCCUCCUGAAACUCGUGCUCCUCUGUGUUUGUUUUAUUGCUCUUAUUGUGGUGUUAGUCAAUAUGUAACUGCAUGGCAGGUAUUCUAGGCCCGGCUUGCAGAGGCUCAUUCAGCACUGCCCAAGGAGCCCUAACGAGGAGGAAAGGCAACAAAGCCCUCACCCAGCCAGGCCACGCACUGGUACGUCUCCAGCAUCACGUCCCGGUAGAGCGCUCGCUGCGCAGGGUCCAGCAGCGCCCACUCCUCCCUGCUGAAAUACACGGCCACCUCCGCAAAGCUCACGGGCUCCUGCAAGCAAAGAGGCUCCUUGCUGGCAACAGCCAAGGCCCAGGGAAGCAGCUCGCACACGACACAAACUCCCGUCCAAGCCGCUUCUCCGUCCCCAGCACACGCAUGCUGACUGAGGGCACCUCCCUCUCCCCCUGCAUUCACAUCCCUCGCCCCUUGGCCUCUCCUGCCUGCUUCCCACAGCCCCUACCUGACACGGAUGUGCUGUGGCCAUUUGCUGCUCUCCUGCAGCCUGGGAUGAUCACGCCUGGAAGGCACAAGUUGAACUGGAGCCUGCAGGGACAAGAGAAAGGGCAGGAGAGCAAAACAAGGUUGAUCGGUGAUUCUCUCCCCCCACCCCGAGAAACAGGGAGGCUGCGGUGCCCCUACUUUGCGCAGCCACUGUCUACUGUGCGUGACAAGAGCAGUCGCUCAUCUGAAGUGCAUCUACACCAAUGCCCGCAGCUUGGGAAACAAACAGGAGCAGGUGGAAGCCACUGUGCUGCUUGAAAACCACGAUUUAGUUGCCACCAAAACCUGGUGGGAGCACUCCUACAGUGGGAGUGUGGCUAUUGAUGGCUACAAGCUGUUCAGAAGGGACAGACUAUGAAGGAAGGGUAGGAGUGUUGCUAUGUAUACCUGGAAUGGAAUAGAAUGUGAAGAGCUGUCCCUGUAGAACUGCCCUGAGCUGGUCAGAAGCCUAUGGGUGACACUGAGAGACCAAGGCAGAAAGGGAGCCUUGUGAUAGGUGCCUACUGCAGGCCACCAGAUCAAUCAGAGCCUGUCAAUGAGGCUUUCUACCUCCAGCUACGGGAGGUGUCAUGAUCACAAUUGCUCGUCCUGCUAGGGGACUUCAGCCACUCAGACAUCUGCUGGAAAAGUAGGACAGCAAGCUGUAAGUGAUCUAGGAGGCUCCUGGAAUGCACUGAGAAUAACUUACUGAUUCAAGUAUCCAGCAUGGAGGAUGCACUACUGGACCUGUUGCUCACCAGUGUACGUGAGCUGAGCAGUGACAUCAGAAUUGGAGGCUGCCUGGGCUGUAGCGACCAUGCUAUGAUUGAGGUCACGCUUUGGAAGGACGUGAGACAGGCAAAGAAUAAAAGUAGGGGGCUAAAAUUUAGGAAAGGCUAACUUCCAGCUCUUCAGGGAGUUAAUCCAAAACACCCUGGGAAACUGUCCUCAUGGGCAAGGGUGCAAGGCAGAUAUGGCAGAUCUUUAAGGAGGCUUUCUUCAGGGCUCAAGAGCUCUCCAUCCCAGAUGUGGCAAGUCAGGAAAGGAAGGCAAGAGACUAGCAUGGCUGAACUGGGACCCACUGGUCAAACUGAAGAGCAAGAACAGAAUGCACAGGCGGUGGAAACAGCGACAGGCAUAAGGAAGCUGCUAGACUGUAUAGGGAUGAGGUCAGGAAAAGCGAGGCCCAGUUUGAACUGAGCUUGACUAGGGAUGCCAAGAAGAACAAGAAAGGUACCUCAGUCAGAAGAGAAAAGUCCAGGAGGGCAUACCCACCCUAGUGAGAGACGCAGGCAGGCUGGUAACAACGGACAAGGAGAAGGCUGAGGUACGUACAAUGUUUUUUUUCCCUCGGUCUUCUCUGGUAACUGCUCACUGCACAGCCCUCAGACAUUUAUUUGGUUUGGUAGGAGGGGAUACAGGAAGCAACGACCCUCCCCCUGUAGGCAAAGAUCAGGUUCGUGACCACCUGAGGAACCUGAACAUCCAGAAGUCUAUGGGUCCCAAUGAGAUGCACCCCAGAGUCCCGAGGGAAUUGGCUGAUGUGGUUGCCAAGCCACUCUCUACAAAAUUUCAAAAGUCAUGGCAAUCAGCAGUAAGCCCUUGGUGGCUGGAAAAAAGGAAACAUCAUACCUAUUUUUAAAAAGGGUAAAAAAGAUUGCCUUGGGAACAACCGGCCUCUCAGUCUCACCUCUGUGCCGGGGAAGAUCAUGAAGCAGAUCCUCCUGGAAGCAAUGCUAAGGCACAUGGAAGGCAGGGAGGAGAUACGGGAGAACCAGCAUGGCUUCACCACAGGCAAAUCCUGUUUGACCAACCUAGUGCCCUUCUGUGAUGGUGUCACCGUAUCAAUGAACAAGAGAAGAGCCACUGAUGUCACCUAUCUGGACUUCAGCAAGGCCUCUGACACAGUACCCCACAGCAUCCUUCUCUCCAAAUUGAAGAGACAUGGAUUUCACAGGUGGACUGUUUUAUGGACGAAGAACUGGCCGCAGGAGAGUGGUGGUCACUGGCUCAGUGUUUGGAUGGAGACCAGUGAUGAGUGGUGUCCGCCAGGGGUCAGUGGUGGGGCUGAUACUCUUUAAUAUCUUCCUCAGUGACAUCAACAGUGGGCUCAAGUGCCCCCUCAGCAAGUUUGCUGAUGACACCAAGCUGUGGGGUGCAGUCACACAUCAGAGGGACAGGAUGCCAUCCAGAGGGACCUAGACAGGCUUGAGCAGUGGGCCCAGGUGAACCUCAUGAUGUUCAGCAACCCAAGGGCAAAGUCUUGCACCCGGGUCGAGGCAACCCCCAUUACUAAUACAAGGUGGGGGAUGGAAGGAUUGAGAGCAGCCCUUCCGAAAAGGACCUGGGGGUACUGGUGGAUGGCAAACUGGACAUGAGCCAGCAAUGUGCUCUCGCAGCCCAAAAAGCCAACCUUAUCCUGGGCUGCAUCUAAAGAAGCAUGGGCAGCAGGACGAGGGAGGUGAUCCUGCACCUCUAUUCUGCACUGGUGAGGACACACCUGGAGUACUGUGCCCAGAUGUGGAAUCCUCAGUACAGGAAAGACAUGGACCUGUUGGAGUGCGUCCACCAAAGGG